rnacentral:lncRNA from 1 species
CAAACACCAAAAACUAUAAGAUAUAGAUCAUAUAUCAUAUUCUUGUUGUUCACUAAAUAUACUAUACCAAUUUGAACACAGAACUAAACUCUAAGUAUAAAGCACCAAAAUAGGAAACCAUUCAUCAAAAUCAGUUAUCAACCACCCAAAAACUAAGAUAUAGAGCUAGGAAUUUCAUCGAAAACUAACAACCUCCUCAUCCUUAUGGAUUUGGUUUUGCCUCAUCCUUCUUCAAGUAAGCUUCCUUUGCCUUCUCCUCAUCCUCCCUUAUGGGUUUGACCCAUACGUUUUAAGAUACUAUAUAAUAUCAAUUGAACCAUAAGUGAUUCAAGAUCCAAUCAGGGCAAUUCUUUUCUUUUGAUUGGAGGGUUCAAAUUAAAAAGAACAUUUGAUAAAAGAUUUUCAAAGAUUCAAUUUUUAUCCAAAAGUUGAAUUCCCAAAUUGGAAAUUCACAGAGGCUGGAAAUCGCCUCACCAUUGAACCAUUAUUUCUACUUCACCUCAGAAUAGCCAAACCACUUCGCCUCCACCAAACAAGUGGCUUAUAUCUAUUACACUAGUUGUUGGUCUAUUCGUUGGAGGCGAAACAAAACCACUAAUCUGACUAUUUUUGGCCGGCCAAAAGUGUUUUUGGCAAAAAAAAAAAAAAAAAAAUUGGCCCCAAAAAAAAGAACGAACAACCAUGAAACACGGGAGGUGUCUAAUACCAUCUUCCGGUCAAAAGAAUUUCUUAUCCGGUCUUCUAUUUUUGCAUAUCAAAAUCAAGAGUCAACAGUAUAAUAUUUGCAAUCUCCAUUUAAUAAUAUUAGUAUUCAUAAGGGGGUAUAUUAUAUCAAUUUGAUGAUUCGUGUAUACUAGAAAAAAAAAAUAGGGCAAGGAAUACAGUUGUUUUCUAGCUAUAAACUACAUAAAAUAAUGCUAUUCUUCGAUUUUCUGAUAAGUAUAUAUUAUAUAUAUUUUUAGGUAUAUAUUAUAUUAAAUAAACAAAUACUCUAUUUAUGGAUAUGACUUUUUGUUCAAUGUUUGUACAAAUUAUUAAUAUAUAUUGCAGGAAAAGAAAAGUAAAAGAGAAGAAAGAAGAGUGUUCAAGCAUAGACAUAAAAAAGGCCAAAGAUGGCAUCCCCAAUCCAAGGAUGUCAUCCUCAAUUCUAAGGAUGUCAUCCGUGGGAAAGAGGCACGUGGAAGAAAUUAAUUCAAGAGUUAGGGACGUCAUCCUCAAUCCAAGGAUGACAUCCCUAAGAAUUUUAGGGGCAUAAUUUCUUAUUAAUAGACAUGACUUUUAUGUGGAAAAGGAGAACCCUUCUUGUGCAAAGGACUCCAACUUUAAUAUUGUCUUCGUUUUAGUUUUAAAAGUUAUUUAUUUAUCCUAGGAAUAAUAUUUUUUCUCCUUUAUCUUUUCUCCGUAAUAGAGUAAUUUUCUUUGGUUGGGAUAUUAAAUGAAGCUAUAAAAGUGUUAUAAUAA